GGGGGGGGGGGGGACAUGCUUGUUCUACUUUUCUUUCCCCAACCAACACACUCAAAUGAAAUGUUUUCUUGCCAUCAUACAUUUAAACUGUCAUUUGAAGAGAUGUACUGUACAAAUAUUGAACACUAGUUUGGAUUUUAUUCCACGUAUUUUGGAUUUUACGUUAA